AGCAGCAUUGGACUAUUUUCCUUCCUUUCCGCAUUUUGUCACUUCUCUGAUUACAUCUACACUUUGGCUAAAGUUUGUUCACAGACAAAAGUCAGACAGAGGACACGGUGGGGGCAAGGACCGUAGAGUCCCACCCCAUGUCAAGAAGGGAAGAGAGAAGGUGCGGGAGUUGAGGCCAGGGCGGAGGUGGUUGGGCUGGAGGAGUGAAGGUCUGGAGGAGCUGAGGAUUACUGGAGCUGGGAGUGGAGAGCUUAGAAGGAAGAUGGUGGUGGAGUCAGACAGAAUGAUGUCUGAGACUGAAAUUUCAGAGGAGUUGUCCUCACUGGUAAAGCUAAGGUCAGGAUGAGAUCUUGAGAAUGCAGAGCUGAGGCAAUGUGGAGGGAAGUGAGGCAGUGGGGGAAGGUUCUCUCCAUGGAUUAGCAAUCACCUGCGCCACAUGGGGAGUGGGCUUAGAGAGAGUGAUGGUAUUCCUGGAGGAAUGAGAGGCUAUGACAGCUUUGUGAUCAGAAGGCUGCAACAAGGAAAGGUAAGGGAGUGCAUAUUCUGAAGACAUUAAAGUUCAAAGAAAAUGGUCUGGAAGCACUGAUGAGGAAGGACAUGACAUCUGAGAAAUUCUGAAUUAGAAAUGUCAAGAAUCCUCCUAUUCACACAGGGAAUACUGUAUAGCAGCAAACAUGGGCAGCCUGCUGCUUCGGGAAACACUGAUGCCGCAGCCAGUGAUCGCCUGCCCAGAGGAGGGGUGCCUAUGCCUGGGGAAGAGCAGGAGGAGACUUCCGGAGGGCUGGUGAUGCUGUCUAUCUUGAUCUGGGGAGUGGCUUCCAUGAGUUUAUGUAUUUUAUUACAAUGAAUCAAGCUGUGCAAUUAGAAUUUAUGCAUUUGUCUGCUUGUACGCAUUGCUUAUAAAUAUCCAGAUGGUACUGUGCGGUGUCAGGUAUGAUGGUAAAAAGCCUGGCACACAGCCAGGUACAUACUGGAUGCUCAGUAAGUAUUUGCUGGGUGCAUGGGAAUGAUAGUUAAUUAGUUAUAAUGUCAACCACCAUGGACUGAGCUCUUCCUGUGGACUAGGCACUUCCCUCAAUGAUUUAUUGCUUUACUUUUUAAUAUUUAUUUAUUUGCUUUUGGCAACGUCAGGUCUUAGUUUGUGUCACAUGAGAUCUUCCUUGUGGCACGUGUGCUUCUCUCUAGUGCAGGGGCCCCUGAGCGCUUGGGCUCACUAGUCACAGCACAUGGGCUUGGUUGCUCUGCAGCUUGUGGGAUCUUAUUUCCCUAACCAAGGAUUGAACUUGUGUACCCUGCAUUGCAAGACGGAUCACCACCAGUAGAGAAGUCCAGUAGUAAAGUCCUGACCCCGUCAAUGAUUUACAUGUAACUCACUUAAUCCUCAUAAAAACUCUAUUAGGCUAUCUAUAUCUAUAGCCAUAUCUAUUUCAUCCCUAUGUAUAUAUUAUUAUCCUCAUUUUGUGGAUGAGGAAACUCAAGCACAGAGGGGUCAAGAAACUUGCCCAAGGCCACACAGCAAGGAUAGUCCCUUGGACUGCAAGUAGAUCAAACCAGUCAAUACUAAAGGCAAUCAACCCUGAAUAUUCAUUGGAAGGACUGAUGCUGAAGCU
ensembl:lncRNA